GGCGUAAGCGCGCGCAGGCGGUUUCUUAAGUCUGAUGUGAAAGCCCACGGCUCAACCGUGGAGGGUCAUUGGAAACUGGGGAACUUGAGUGCAGAAGAGAAAAGCGGAAUUCCACGUGUAGCGGUGAAAUGCGUAGAGAUGUGGAGGAACACCAGUGGCGAAGGCGGCUUUUUGGUCUGUAACUGACGCUGAGGCGCGAAAGCGUGGGGAGCAAACAGGAUUAGAUACCCUGGUAGUCCACGCCGUAAACGAUGAGUGCUAAGUGUUAGAGGGUUUCCGCCCUUUAGUGCUGCAGCUAACGCAUUAAGCACUCCGCCUGGGGAGUACGGUCGCAAGACUGAAACUCAAAGGAAUUGACGGGGGCCCGCACAAGCGGUGGAGCAUGUGGUUUAAUUCGAACCAACGCGAAGAACCUUACCAGGUCUUGACAUCCUCUGACAUCUCUAAAGAUAGAUCGUUCC
rnacentral:rRNA from 2 species